GACGAACGCUGGCGGCGUGCCUAACACAUGCAAGUCGAACGGAAAGGCCUCUUUCGGGGGGUACUCGAGUGGCGAACGGGUGAGUAACACGUGAGUAACUUGCCCUUGACUUUGGGUUAACUUCAGUAAACUGAGGCUAAUACCGGAUAGGAGCUCCUGUUGCAUGCUGGGGGUUGGAAAGUUUCGGCGGUUGGGGAUGGACUCGCGGCUUAUCAGCUUGUUGGUGGGGUAGUGGCUUACCAAGGCUUUGACGGGUAGCCGGCCUGAGAGGGUGACCGGCCACAUUGGGACUGAGAUACGGCCCAGACUCCUACGGGAGGCAGCAGGGGGGAAGAUUGCACAAGGGGUGGAAGCCUGAUGCAGCAACGCCGUGUGCGGGAGGACGGCCUUCGGGUUGGAAACCGCUUUCGCUCAUGACGAAGCUUUGUGUGACGGUAGUGGGUAAAGAAGCACCGGCUAACUACGUG
rnacentral:rRNA from 1 species